GACGAACGCUGGCGGCGUGCUUAACACAUGCAAGUCGAACGGAAAGGCCCUGCUUUUGUGGGGUGCUCGAGUGGCGAACGGGUGAGUAACACGUGAGUAACCUGCCCUUGACUUUGGGAUAACUUCAGGAAACUGGGGCUAAUACCGGAUAGGAGCUCCUGCUGCAUGGUGGGGGUUGGAAAGUUUCGGCGGUUGGGGAUGGACUCGCGGCUUAUCAGCUUGUUGGUGGGGUAGUGGCUUACCAAGGCUUUGACGGGUAGCCGGCCUGAGAGGGUGACCGGCCACAUUGGGACUGAGAUACGGCCCAGACUCCUACGGGAGGCAGCAGUGGGGAAUAUUGCACAAUGGGCGGUAGCCUGAUGCAGCAACGUCGCGUGCGGGAUGACGGCCUUCGGGUUGUAAACCGCUUUCGCCUGUGACGAAGCGUGAGUGACGGUAAUGGGUAAAGAAGCACCGGCUAACUACGUG
rnacentral:rRNA from 1 species